rnacentral:rRNA from 1 species
GGGAAAUCUUACCGGGUCCGGACACACUGAGGAUUGACAGGUGUUUCGUUUUUUAAUUUCAGUGGCUAAAAAGUUUUUAUUGCUUCGGCUUUAGAAGCUUCGCUGAAAGUUUCAAAAAACAUUUCAAAUAUGCUAGUCCUUUCAUGAUUGUGUGAUAGGUGGUGCAUGGCCGUUCUUAGUUCGUGGAGUGAUCUGUCUGCUUAAUUGCGUUUCACUUAUGGCUCGCAUGUGUUUUUAUUAUUUCUGUGACCUUAUUUCUGUUUUACACGGAUUUAUAGCGUCCGGAGUGGUAUUCACGGUGAACCUCGAAGGCAACGA